rnacentral:lncRNA from 1 species
CUGUGAUUUGUUAUAUUUUAUCAGUAAAGGCACACAUACGAUACAAAACAAUUUAAAAUCAAUAAAUAUGCUAAGCAUAUAGAGAAAAGUUAAUGCACUCACCAAGUUAAUGUAAUUGUAAACAUUUAAGCUUAAAUCAUUUCUUGAGCUUCCUGGAAAUUAAGACAAAAGGAGGUGGAAAGUCUGACUUCAUUUCCUUGUGGGAGACUCUGGUUCACCAUCUGCAGACGUGUUCUUCCGAAAACACGGACUUUAGCACUCAUUUGAGAAUUUCCUGUUUGGCACGUAGAUUAAAACGACUCUCCAAAGGGAGAGCUUUUAAAGAGUUAAGCUGAUGCACUCCGGGCAGGUCACAUUCUUCCCCUGAUUCAGUGGAACAGUACUUCGGAGCCACCUGUCCUGGUCCCUCACUGCCGGGAUUAUGCCUGAGUCCUGGCUGAGAUAGUGUACAUCCUGCUGAGUCUCUGGCACGCUGGGUCCUCAAGGGUGCAAUGAGCAAACGCUCCUCCCUGCUCUCCGUUCUACAGUCAAAGCUGAGGAGCGAUGCGGUCGCUGUCUCCAAGGACACAGUAAGGACAGAGGCUGCGCGGGCCGUGCUCCCAGCAGGGACCGACUCAGGCGCUCUUCUGAGUGCAGGUGGCUCUAGUUGGGGGUUUCUUCUGGCUGAGGUGCCACACAGAUCCACGACUGAGAACUCGGGCCCUCCAGCCUGCCUUGCACCCGAGACUGCCCACAAGUGUGGAAUCAUCACCUGGGAGCGCAGCCUGAGCAGCUCAGCCGCCUACUGUGCCUUCUCCUCAGCAACCCCAGGCCUCUGCAGAGGACACAGCCAAGACAGCCUGGAGGGGCUCUGUGUGCUUUGCUUUUGCCUUGGUAGGAAAAAUUUCAAGGGAACAGCUCAAAGUUUGUGA